AGAGUUUGAUCAUGGCUCAGAACGAACGCUGGCGGCAGGCUUAACACAUGCAAGUCGAGCGCCCCGCAAGGGGAGCGGCAGACGGGUGAGUAACGCGUGGGAAUCUACCCAUCUCUACGGAACAACUCCGGGAAACUGGAGCUAAUACCGUAUACGUCCUUCGGGAGAAAGAUUUAUCGGAGAUGGAUGAGCCCGCGUUGGAUUAGCUAGUUGGUGGGGUAAUGGCCUACCAAGGCGACGAUCCAUAGCUGGUCUGAGAGGAUGAUCAGCCACAUUGGGACUGAGACACGGCCCAAACUCCUACGGGAGGCAGCAGUGGGGAAUAUUGGACAAUGGGCGCAAGCCUGAUCCAGCCAUGCCGCGUGAGUGAUGAAGGCCCUAGGGUUGUAAAGCUCUUCCAACGGUGAAGAUAAUGACGGUAACCGUAGAAGAAGCCCCGGCUAACUUCGUGCCAGCAGCCGCGGUAAUACGAAGGGGGCUAGCGUUGUUCGGAAUUACUGGGCGUAAAGCGCACGUAGGCGGAUAUUUAAGUCAGGGGUGAAAUCCCGGGGCUCAACCCCGGAACUGCCUUUGAUACUGGAUAUCUGGAGUCCGAGAGAGGUGAGUGGAAUUCCGAGUGUAGAGGUGAAAUUCGUAGAUAUUCGGAGGAACACCAGUGGCGAAGGCGGCUCACUGGCUCGGUACUGACGCUGAGGUGCGAAAGCGUGGGGAGCAAACAGGAUUAGAUACCCCCGUAGUCC
rnacentral:rRNA from 1 species